AUUGAACGCUGGCGGCAGGCUUAACACAUGCAAGUCGAGCGGGGUGAUGGUGCUUGCACUAUCACUUAGCGGCGGACGGGUGAGUAAUGCUUAGGAAUCUGCCUAUUAGUGGGGGACAACAUCUCGAAAGGGAUGCUAAUACCGCAUACGUCCUACGGGAGAAAGCAGGGGAUCACUUGUGACUUUUCGCUAAUAGAUGAGCCUAAGUCGGAUUGGGCAGUUUGUGGGGUAAAGUCCUCCCAAGGCGACGAUCUGUAGCGGGUCGGAGAGGAUGAUCCGCAACACUGGGACUGAGACACGGCCCAGACUCGUACGGGAGGCAGCAGUGGGGAAUAUUGGACGAUGGGGGGAACCCUGAUCCAGCCAUGCCGCGUGUGUGAAGAAGGCCUUAUGGUUGUAAAGCACUUUAAGCGAGGAGGAGGCUCUUUUGGUUAAUACCCAAGAUGAGUGGACGUUACUCGCAGAAUAAGCACCGGCUAACUCUGUGCCAGCCGCCGCGGUAA
rnacentral:rRNA from 1 species